GACGAACGCUGGCGGCGUGCUUAACACAUGCAAGUCGAACGGAAAGGCCCUGCUUUUGUGGGUUGCUCGAGUGGCGAACGGGUGAGUAACACGUGAGUAACCUGCCCUUGACUUUGGGAUAACUUCAGGAAACUGGGGCUAAUACCGGAUAGGAGCUCCUGCUGCAUGGUGGUGGUUGGAAAGUUUCGGCGGUUGGGGAUGGACUCGCGGCUUAUCAGCUUGUUGGUGGGGUAGUGGCUUACCAAGGCUUUGACGGAUAGCCGGCCUGAGAGGGUGACCGGCCACAUGGGGACUGAGAUACGGACCAGAAUGCUACGGGAGGCAGCAGUGGGGAAUAUUGCAGAAUGGGCGGAAGCCUGAUGCAGCAACGCCGCGUGCGGGAUGACGGCCUUCGGGUUGUAAACCGCUUUCGCCGGUGACGAAGCGUGAGUGACGGUAAUGGGUAAAGAAGCACCGGCUAACUACGUG
rnacentral:rRNA from 1 species